AACGAACGCUGGCGGCAUGCCUAACACAUGCAAGUCGAACGAGACCUUCGGGUCUAGUGGCGCACGGGUGCGUAACGCGUGGGAACCUGCCCUUAGGUUCGGAAUAACUCCCCGAAGGGUGUCCUAAUACCGGUUAAUGUCUUCGGACCAAAGAUUUAUCGCCUUUGGAUGGGCGCGCGUUAGAUUAGCUAGUUGGUAGGGUAAAAGCCUACCAAGGCGACGAUGCAUAGCUGGUCUGAUAGGAUGAUAAGCUACACUGGGAAUGCGACACGGCCCAGACCCGUACGGAAGGGAGCAGUGGGGAAUAUUAGACGAUGAGCGCUGGUCUAGUCACGCCAUGUCGCGUGAGUGAUGAAGGCGUUAGGAUUGUAAAGCCCUUUUACACGGGAUGUUAAUGACAGUAACGGGUGAAUAAGCACCGGCUAACUACGUG
rnacentral:rRNA from 1 species